UAUACUUCAUCCAUGUCAUCAAGGCUCUGGAUCUGACUUUCUCCAGGAUCUUUCUUCUACUCUCCAUCUUCCAAUGUCUUUAGGAAGAUCACUCCAGGAAAAGUUUGGAAGAUGGACCAGGCAGGAGCCAUUCAAAAAGUCAAGGACAGCAGCAACUCCAAAUGGUCCCCCACCUAACCCAUUCACAUCUUGCCCUUUAGAAACAUUAGACUGUCCCGGACUUUUCCCAUCUACACCCUGCUCUAUCUUCCUGCCUUUUUUUUUUGUACACUUCUCACUUAACAUGCUGCAUUCUUUACUGAUUUUUUUGUUCAUUAUUUCUUAUUUGUCUGGCCCAACAGAAUAUCAGUUCCACAAAGGCAGGCAUCUUUGACAAUGGGUUCAGUGCUGUGUCCCCAAGAUCUGGAACACUUCCUUGCAUAUAAUAUAUGUUCAACAACUGUACUGGUCAGCUUCCUGUUGCUGGACUCAAGGUUUAGAUCUACAGUGUCCCCCAAAAGUCCCAUGUGUUCAGAGGUGGGGCUUUUGGAAAGUAAUUGGAUCAUAGGACACUAUACUCAUCAGUAGAUUAAUCUGCUGAUGAGUUCAUAUCUAUUAGGAGUUGGGGCCUAGUUGGAGGUGGCCACUGGAGGCGUG
rnacentral:lncRNA from 1 species